GAAUGGGCCAAAUCAGAGAAAAGAACUU
rnacentral:piRNA from 1 species